UGGCACUGGGAAUAUAACAGGAGCCCAACAUAUCCUGGCUGUGCCCUUCACCUCGCACCUGACUGCAGGUGGCAAGAGCUGCGUGAGCAGAAGACAGAUUUCUAAGCUUUGAGCUAUUUCUGAGAGCAAGAUCCGGUCCCAGGCAAUCUGGAUUCCCACCGUUCUCUCAGAAUCCUCAACAGGCACGUUCAAGACUUUGGGGUUUAGGAUUCAGAGAGAUGAAUAUUAGAUGUCCCUGCAGACCUCCCCAGUCGGCCUUAUUUCUUAACGAUGUCUUUCUGGAUGCUCCCGGGAGCCCUGCCUGCCUGGCAGAUACUGAAUAAGGCAGAAGGAGCAUGAAGGAAAAGUAGCAUCUUGGAACGGUUGCCUAGUUACACACUGAUCUGGACCACGUGGUCUCCUCCCCUCGGAGGGCCCGGGGCUCUGCUGUCCCAACAGAUUUCACUUAUGAAACACAGAUUUAAAGAUACAUCAGCUGAGAAUUUCCAGACA